GUCCCGGCUCAGAUUGAACGCUGGCGGCAGGCCUAACACAUGCAAGUCGAGCGGUAACAUUUCUAGCUUGCUAGAAGAUGACGAGCGGCGGACGGGUGAGUAAUACUUGGGGAUCUGCCUGAUGGCGGGGGACAACCACUGGAAACGGUGGCUAAUACCGCAUAAUGCCUACGGGCCAAAGUGUGGGACCUUCGGGCCACAUGCCAUCAGAUGAACCCAAGCGAGAUUAGCUAGUUGGUGAGGUAACGGCUCACCAAGGCGACGAUCUCUAGCUGUUCUGAGAGGAUGAUCAGCCACACUGGGACUGAGACACGGCCCAGACUCCUACGGGAGGCGGCAGUGGGGAAUAUUGGACAAUGGGCGCAAGCCUGAUCCAGCCAUGCCGCGUGUGUGAAGAAGGCCUUCGGGUUGUAAAGCACUUUCAGUGGUGAGGAAGGCGUUGUAGUUAAUAGCUGCAACGAUCGACGUUAGCCACAGAAGAAGCACCGGCUAACUCCGUGCCAGCAGCCGCGGUAAUACGGGAGGGUGCGAGCGUUAAUCGGAAUUACUUGGGCGUAAAGCGCACGUAGGCGGCUUGUUAAGCAAGAUGUGAAAGCCCAGGGCUCAACCUUGGAAUUGCAUUUUGAACUGGCAGCUAGAGUUUUGAGGAGGGUGGGUAGAAUUUCCAGUGUUAGCGGUGAAAUGCGUAGAUUUUGGAA
rnacentral:rRNA from 1 species